rnacentral:tRNA from 1 species
AGAAAAUUAGUUAAAUUUUUUAUAAUAAUAGGUUGUCGAGCUAUAGUUAUUGGUUAAAAUCCAAUAUUUUCUA